rnacentral:rRNA from 1 species
GGGAACUGCNUUCUGAACUGGGUGACUAGAGUGUGUCAGAGGGAGGUAGAAUUCCACGUGUAGCAGUGAAAUGCGUAGAGAUGUGGAGGAAUACCGAUGGCGAAGGCAGCNUCCUGGGAUAACACUGACGUUCAUGCCCGAAAGCGUGGGUAGCAAACAGGAUUAGAUACCNUGGUAGUCCUCGCCCUAAACGAUGUCGAUUAGCUGUUGGGCAGCAUGACUGCUUAGUAGCGAAGCUAACGCGUGAAAUCGACCGCCUGGGGAGUACGGUCGCAAGAUUAAAACUCAAAGGAAUUGACGGGGACCCGCACAAGCGGUGGAUGAUGUGGAUUAAUUCGAUGCAACGCGAAGAACCUUACCUGGUCUUGACAUGUACGGAACCCUCCAGAGACGGAGGGGUGCCUUCGGGAGCCGUAACACAGGUGCUGCAUGGCUGUCGUCAGCUCGUGUCGUGAGAUGUUGGGUUANNNNNNNNNNACGAGCGCAACCCUUGUCAUUAGUUGCCAUCAUUAAGUUGGGCACUCUAAUGAGACUGCCGGUGACAAGCCGGAGGAAGGUGGGGAUGACGUCAAGUCCUCAUGGCCCUUAUGACCAGGGCUUCACACGUCAUACAAUGGUCGGUACAGAGGGUAGCCAAGCCGCGAGGUGGAGCCAAUCUCACAAAACCGAUCGUAGUCCGGAUUGCACUCUGCAACU